ACGCUCGACACCUACGGGAGGCAGCAGUGGGGAAUAUUGGGCAAUGGGCGCAAGCCUGACCCAGCAACGCCGCGUGAAGGAUGAAGGCUUUCGGGUUGUAAACUUCUUUUAUUCGGGACGAAGAAAAUGACGGUACCGAAUGAAUAAGCCACGGCUAACUACGUACCAGCAGCCGCGGUAAUCUGAGCGGGCUGGCAAGGC
rnacentral:rRNA from 1 species